UACGUAGGAUGCAAGCGUUGUCCGGAAUUAUUGGGCGUAAAGCGAACGUAGGCGGUUUCUUAAGUUUGGUCUUAAAGACCGGGGCUCAACCCCGGGAAUGGAUCGAAAACUGGGAGACUAGAGGAUGUCAGAGGAAAGUGGAAUUCCGAGUGUAGCGGUGAAAUGACGUAGAUAUCGUCUGGAACGCCGAAGGUGAAAACAGCUGACGCUGG
rnacentral:rRNA from 1 species